UACGUAGGUGCCAAGCGUUGUCCGGAAUUAUUGGGCGUAAAGAGCUCGUAGGUGGCCUGUCGCGUCGGCUGUGAAAACUCGGGGCUCAACUCCGAGCUUGCAGUCGAUACGGGCAGGCUAGAGUUCGGCAGGGGAGACUGGAAUUCCUGGUGUAGCGGUGAAAUGCGCAGAUAUCAGGAGGAACACCGGUGGCGAAGGCGGGUCUCUGGGCCGAUACUGACACUGAGGAGCGAAAGCGUGGGGAGCGAACAGGAUUAGAACCG
rnacentral:rRNA from 1 species